rnacentral:rRNA from 1 species
CCUACGGGUGGCUGCAGUGAGGAAUAUUGGUCAAUGGGCGCGAGCCUGAACCAGCCAAGUCGCGUGAGGGAGGACGGCCCUACGGGUUGUAAACCUCUUUUGCCGGGGAGCAACGGGCGUCACGUGUGGCGCCACUGAGAGUACCCGGAGAAAAAGCAUCGGCUAACUCCGUGCCAGCAGCCGCGGUAAUACGGAGGAUGCGAGCGUUAUCCGGAUUUAUUGGGUUUAAAGGGUGCGUAGGCGGAUCGUUAAGUCAGUGGUCAAAUUGAGGGGCUCAACCCCUUCCCGCCAUUGAAACUGGCGUUCUUGAGUGGAAGAGAAGUAUGCGGAAUGCGUGGUGUAGCGGUGAAAUGCGUAGAUAUUAGGAGGAACAUCAGGGGCGAAGGCAGUUCACUGGACUGCAACUGACACUGAGGCUCGAAAGUGUGGGUAUCAAACAGGAUUAGAUACCCGAGUAGUC